rnacentral:rRNA from 1 species
AAUAGAUACCCAGGUAGUCCACCCCGUAAACGUUGGGAACUAGUUGUGGGGUCCUUUCCACGGAUUCCGUGACGCAGCUAACGCAUUAAGUUCCCCGCCUGGGGAGUACGGCCGCAAGGCUAAAACUCAAAGGAAUUGACGGGGACCCGCACAAGCGGCGGAGCAUGCGGAUUAAUUCGAUGCAACGCGAAGAACCUUACCAAGGCUUGACAUACACCGGAAACGGCCAGAGAUGGUCGCCCCGCAAGGUCGGUGUACAGGUGGUGCGUGGUUGUCGUCAGCUCGUGUCGUGAGAUGUUGGGUUAAGUCCCGCAACGAGCGCAACCCUCGUUCUAUGUUGCCAGCACGUAAUGGUGGGAACUCAUGGGAUACUGCCGGGGUCAACUCAGAGGAAGGUGGGGAUGACGUCAAAUCAUCAUGCCCCUUAUGUCUUGGGCUUCACGCAUGCUACAAUGGCCGGUACAAAGGGCUGCAAUACCGUGAGGUGGAGCGAAUACCCAAAAAGCCGGUCCCGAGUUCGGAUUGAGGUCUGCAACUCGACCUCA